CCGGUCGGAGCUGCGCAGCCUCCCUUCAUUAUUUUGCAUAGGGGAAGUAGAAGAGAGGAAAACGUUUCGUCCAACAUGCAGCCCAUGACCUUUGCUGCAUCUUCACACACUUCACACGGACAGAUGAGGACGUUUCAAGGGUGAGGGUGAGAAGAAGCAGGAGGUAAAAGAAGCAUCACUGAGGUUCAUCGCCUGCUGACAGAACAGAGACCUUGGGGUGAACCGACUCCCUUUCUCUGGAGUUUAGACAUAAACACAUCCAGUGUGCAGGUGGAAAUACGGGUGUGUGAAAAGGGUAAAUAAAUGUCCCUGCCAAGGAGUUCUGAACAUUUUGCAAACAAUGGAAUUUUUCACACAAACUCAGAUUUGAACUCUGUGUGGAUAAAAAUAAAUUCCUGCUAACAAUAAAACUUGAAUACUCCUCCGUGAAAUAUGUGAUUGGAGAGUACUUUUUCAACUUCAAGUGACCGAAUCAGGAACAGACUUCUGUAAUCCCACUUAUUAGAGUACAUGAAGAAACGUUUUCUGGGAUUUUAAAAAAAAAAAAAAAAAAAAAAAAAAAAAAAAGGUUUCAAAUAUAAAACGUCUUUCCACUUGUGGAAAAUUUCAGUACAAAAAUCA